AGGCGGCCGGCAGAGGGCAGGGCGGGCACGACAACCUCCCCGGCGAUAUUUUGGUGCCCUGGCGGAGGUGCCUUACAGUGCCACCUCCUUUGCCAUCGCCAUCGUUGCUAGGCCCAAGUCUCUAAGCCUCAGAGCGUCUCCGUCAAGUGCGUUUGAGGGCAAAGAAGAUGAAGUGAAGGUGGGCGCGUGUGUAAGCAUGGAGGCUGAUACGCCCACACACGCCCACAGGGAGGCGCACCAGAUCAUCACGCCCACGCCCAUCGCAUCCCCCUUUCACCUCCACCUGCACUGUGUUUAGUAGAGAAGAAAAAGAAAAAAAAACAUCUGGUUUCAGUUGGUCAAGACAACAUGGCCGACCCUCGCAGCGCCCGCGGCGGGAAGGAGGGCGUGGAGCGCGUGGUCACGCCCCCUUUCCCCGCCCAGUUCUACCCGGUGCCAGGCUACCAGGGCCCCCCCUGGUUUCCGGGCCAGGGCCCCGCAGGUCCCCCUCCGCCGUGGCCCGCGUCGUGGAGCGGCCCCCCCAUGGGCUUCCCGGCGCCGCCCGCGGCCUGGUCGUCCCCGCAGAGCAUGAUGCCGUCCAGCACGACCAGCACGACGGCCGCCAUGCCGUCCGACGAGUACACGGUGGACACCAUGCGGCGCAUCUACAACGACGACGACGGCCGCGUCGAGAUCCAGCGCGUCAAGGUGCAGCGCCGCCCUCCUGACGCGGGCGCGCUCGCGUACCCGACCGGGCCCGAGGCCAUGAGCGUCGUGCCCGUCGGCAGCUUUCCCCUGAACGAGCGCCGCCCUCCGCCCAGGAAGAAGAAGCAGCUGCAGGCUCUGCAGGCGGCGCAGGGACAGGGCUAUCCCUGGUACCCCUACAUGCCCUGCAUGCCGUACCCCGUGCCCUACCCCUACUACUACGGCGGCUGCAUGUGGACCCCCGGCGCGCCCACGAGCCACAUGGGCAGCACCCCGGCGUGGGCGGGACAGGAGGAGAGCGAGAGGACGUCGUCGCGCCAGGACUCGUUGCCCACCACGCUGGACUCGCAGCGCCUCGAGUCCCGCUCGUCGGACCCCCUGAGGGGCUCCAUCUCCCCCGUGUCGCAGCGCUCGCCCUCGCCCGCCGCCGGCUCGCACGUCACGGACGCCCACAGCCUGGCGCCCUCGGACAGCGUGUCGAUGCGCGGCUACAAGCGGGAGUCGUCCCUGGAGCGCGCGCUCAUGUGCCCGACGCCGCCGCCGCGCACCAAGAGCAGGAGCGCCGAGCGGAAGUCCAGCGCCGACGUCGGGAAGAUGCAGGAGUGGAUGUUCGACAUGCACAGGGCCAUCCUGGCCUCCAACGACGGCGCCUCGGACGCCGACAAGUCCUCCUUCGCCACCGCGCCGACGGACGUGGAGCCAUACAAGAGGGCGCCCCCGAGGAGGAAGAACCGCGCGGCGCGGCUCGCCAACCUGAGCGAAAGGAGUUCCCUGAGCGACCAGAAGGACCUGGACGACGCCCUCGAGAAGAGCAGCAUCACGUCGAUCGGGUCUGACGAUUCUCUCAAGCUGAGUUCAGAGCUGACUUACGCCUUCAAGAAGUUAGAGCAGUCAGUCGACGCGUUCAAGACGAAGGUGUCGAGCGACUCCACCCCAGUCCACACCCCACAGCGGCUGUCCUCCCCGCCCCCCUUGCAUUCCAGCGGGGAGGAAACGCCCACAGAAGCCAUGGAAGACGCGGUGGUGACCCUCGACGUCACCGGCGCGGAGAAAAGCGUCACGGACGUCACUCUGGCGAAGUCCGACGCCACUUCAGAUGACCCGUCUUCCCCUCCUCCGCUAGAAACCAUCUCCCCGACCUUCUUCAACGAGGCGCAGACCCCACAGGCGCCGAAGGAGGAAGGAGGACAAGCUGCCAAAGCGGAGGAGAUUCCGUCUCCGCAAACCACCUCAGACACGAGCAGUUCUCAGACCUCCCAGACGUCCGUGGCGACGACCUUACAAACCACGGACGUCAGCGCGGCCCAUCCCAGCGAAGCCGAAGGAACCAAAACAACACCAGAAGCCCCAACUCCCGAAGCCAAGGAGACACCCACAGCGCCACCACAGCCUCCGGACGGACCACCGGCCUCCCCCUCCACAGAAAAGCCCAAGGAGGAGACCCAGACCAUCCCCCAAACCACGGAAAGCGUCCCCUCAGCCACAGCAACGGAGAAACAAGUCCCUCCAGUCGACAGAACCGACGCUUCUCACCCUCCUCUUCCCUCGGAAAUCGAAGCCAAAGCGAAUGAAGAAGAGGCAAGCGGUCGAGAAUCAAGAGCAAGCGAGAGCACCUUCUUCUCCAUCAGAGCUUCCGACGAUCAGCUGCUCGUAGACACAGACUCCACAGACAUCUUGCUGCCAACCACAGAUGCCACCACCGCAGAUGAGGGUGAGGAGCACAUGGAUUCGGCGGUGGCGAGUCCCACGCUGGAGGACUCCGAGGGCUACCAGUGGGUCCUGCAGCAGCCUGGCGAGACACCCGAGCUCAGCGGGGCCAAGGGGGACGAGCAGAGGAACGCGUGGCGGGCGGAAGUUAGCCUGUGGAGAGCCCGUCUCGUCGUGUCCUUAUGUCGAGGUCGAGGUCUCGAUCGCCAGGACUGGUCCACCUUCCACCUCCUGGUCCGCCACCCUCUCACACUCGACCUCAAGCUCUCCCUCCUGCACGCGCCUCGACUCUGCGCCGCCAACUCGACCGUCGGCGCGGCUCUCGUGAGGGUGGCACUCAUCCAUCUGGCACAGUACGGCGAGGCACUGUUGCAGCCCGACUCCUCCAGGCAGACGGGGUGGAGGUCCAUCAAGGUCGAUCCCAACCAGUCUUGGGCUCCUGUCAAGGGCGCCAUAGAAAUCCUUCAAGCGCUAGGAUACAAGCAGCGAGAAGACGGCAUCCUCCGGUAUCCUCGACGUUCAAACACUGAGGUCUCGGUCCUGGCUCGUCUCACGCUCGACAUGCUCGUCCUGGCAGAGGAACUUCGCCUCUACUUGACCGGGAUGCACCAGUACCCGACCAACAUCUCCGACCUGUUCUUCUCGGCCACCAGUCCCAUUGCUUCUUCGCCAGACCAUCUGAUGCAGGAUCUUCCUCAGAGACCACAGUCCUCUGCCAGCUCGUACAGCUUCCUAUCGGCGCAGUCUAGCGCGUCACUCGACAAAAGGCCAGAGAGCAGAGCGUCCAUAUCAGAUGAAGAAACGGAGACUCUUCAGGAAUCCGUACAGCACACCAAAGGUCCCGCCAAGAAGGCACGGCGGGAUUCUUCUUCUGAAGAGGAAGUCACCUUACGAGAAGAUACGAAGGACGUGAAAGGAGACAGCACUGAAGCCGUGCAGGACGAACUUGCUGGUGAGAUGCCUACAGAAGAAGCUCCUCUACCAACUGAAGUCCUUCGGAAAAAGGAGGAUAUGCGAUCAGGUUCAGUGCUCGCCCUCCCUCUGAAUCCCAUAGACAGGUCAUCUCUGAGUACGAUGACGAGCAUGCCAGAUCUCCAGUCACUCCGCUCCAGCACCAUCUCUCGAGACAGCCAACAUCGCCCUGAAAGCAAGAACUCAGCCGCCCCGCCUUCCACGCCAACAGGAGAGGCGACGACAGGAAAUGACAACCCCGAAGAACACAUCUAUGAGGAAAUCGAUGUGAUUCGUGCUCAGGUGCAAGCGCUAAGAUCUGCGAGUGUCCCGGCACACACCCCGCCACCUCCUCUCCCUCCAAAGAAGAAGGUGAGUUCUGGCGGAGAAGAUGACUCGAACUUGAGCGUAACGUACCCUAGCAUGGAGUGGACGUCAGCCUCCACCCCAGGCUCCCUGAGAGGUGGUUCAACAGGCGCCCGAAGGAAGAAGAGAAGAGCGCCAAUGCCCCCGGAUUUCAUGCCCCCUGACUGGAGAGAUUAUCAGAACAGAAGUGUUGAAAAUGCUAGCAGCAAAACUCAAGAUCAGGCAUCACAAAGUCCUAAAGAAACAAGUGAGGAAGAAAGGAAGAGAAAAGAAGAAUACAGAAGAUCACUGAAUCCAUUCUAUGAGGAAAUCGACUCUGUCAAAGAGAAAGUGAAGGAAAUACAGGCUAAGGAAGAGGAAAAGAAUCCCUUUAUCAGGGAGGAUGUUGCAGUAGCAGGAUACAUAGGGAAAAAUCCAUUUUAUGAAGACGUUGAACCCUUGAAGAAAGACGCCAAAGAAAGUUCUGAGGAAAUCAAAAAGAACAAAGAUUAUGAGAAGUUGCAAAAUAUACGAAAAGGCGAAAAUGGGAAGGUAUGUGGCAUGGGAUCGCUCGCUGAACUACAGGAUGACUCAGUACAGACGAGACCAAAGCGGAAAGCACCUCGCCCUCCACCCACACCAGAUCCAACCUCUGCUUCAGCUGCAGAGAACACGUCAGUAACCAUUUCAAGUUCUGAAGUUACUGAAUCAACCACCUCCACCCAACAGCCUUCAUCAACUCCACAGCCUCCUACUUCUUCACGGCCUCCUUCCGCUCCACAGCGGUCAUCAACCCCACGCUCUUCUUCCAUUCCACGAACAGCAUCCACUCCCCAACCUUCAUCAACCGACCAGUCAUCAACACAGCAUCCAUCAACCUCCCAACGCCCACCAACUCCAAAGCGAGCUUCAACUCCACGAAGAUCCUCCACCCAAGACACUCCCAUCCCUCCAGAUGCUCAGAAUCAAGGAGAGCAAACGAAAAAUGCCGAUGCAGAUGAAACCAAGCCACCAAUACCCGCCAAACUCCGAAAUGGAGAGAAAAGUAGUGCCAACACCCCCUCGGAGACGGCUAAAUCAACAGCAAGCGAGCCCCAAAGUAGUUCCCAACCACAGCAAGACGUCAAAGAACCAGAAACUCAAAAGGAAGAGGCGAGACAAGUCAUCUCGAAAGCCAUCAAGAACCAGCAACAGCGGAUACAGCUCCAACACCCAAAGACUCCACCUCCACCACCACCAUCAUCCUUGAAACCAGUGCCUCCACCUUCUGACGUGAAAUCAACCGAAGAAAAGAAAGAGGAUUCAGGAAAAGCGGCAGAUCCAUCAGCAACGGCGCCGCCAAGAGACUCACUGGCCUUUCUGGACGACAUUCCGUACAUGGAUGCAAACGAAGUCAAAGAUGCCAAGACGAAGACAUCGGACUCGAAAGACCAGCAGAGCUGUCAGUACGAGGUCAUAGAGCCCCCCGGGAAAAUCAUCGUGCCCGCCCAACUCUCCCCGACGGUCAUGAGGCAGACCGCCCUUCUGCUGCGAGGAUCCCGCACGGUUCCUUUCAUCGACGAGUCCGACCUCCCCCCUGACUGCCCUCCCCCUCCUCCGCCAGGACCCCCGCCCGAUUCGCCACCGACGUCGCCACCCGAAACGCCUCAUACUUCCCCCCCUGAGACCCCUCACACCUCCCCUCCCGAAACGCCCCAAGGAUCGCCAAUCCCUAUCCGCGUUAGCCUCUCUCUCCCCGCGUCAGCUGCCACCACCCCCGGAGUAAAGAAAACGGAAGCAGACAAAGCAAGAGAAACCGAACGGCUUGGAAAGACAACAGACGCGUCACAGAAAGCAGAGGACGAGGACCAGCCACCCGCACUGCCGCCCAAAACAACCGUAGCCUCGUCACCAAAGACUAAAAUCACCGAAACCAAACAAACGACGGAACAAACGACGCCGCAAACCAAGCCCCCGGAAGACAAACAAGCGAAAACGACGCACCAAGACUCGAACCAAAAGGAAGAGCCAAAGAAAGAAAACGAACCAGCGUCCAGUCAGCCGUCAGUUCGGAAGUCCGUGUCCGAAGACCGCUACGAGAUCCCGGACACAUCGAAGCCGCCAGCCACGAGUCCGGACAGUAGCCAGUCCUCAAAGACCGAGAAAGGAGACGACUCAACAGGGACGACUCAGGACGCGUCAGAAGGUCCCUCUGGCGAGUCUAACGUUCCUGCUGCGGUCUCUGACAAGCGAGAGGUUCCUGAAGCGGCGAAGGAGAGCGUGGUCGAGGAGCGCUAUGAAAUUCCUGAGGUUGUGAAGGAGACGGCGCUGAACGGUGGAGCUAGCAGUGUGGAGUUGCAAACCCACUAGCGCAUUUGUCAGAGGUGGAGCUGUAGACUGUAGUGUAGAUCAGCUGUUUAGAAGCUUUUUCCGUGGUGUGUGCUUUAGCUAGGAACGUCAAGGGAGUCGGCGCGUGUUGUGAAACGCUCAGCCCCGGUCGUUCCUGGGCCCCGUCGUGACCAACCUGGAGGCGGUGUUCGGCCCCCCCAAACCCCCCGCCGCCGCCGCAACCACCACUCCCCCCGCCCCCAGACCCCCCAAGUCGCUCUCCCUGGACGCCUCG
rnacentral:misc_RNA from 1 species